CACAGAGGCCCCAAGCGUUGUCCGGAAUCACUGGGCGUAAAGGGUGUGUAGGUGGUCUAGUUAGUCUCUCGUUAAAGCUCCCGGCCCAACCGGGAAAAUGCGAGAGAAACGGCCAGACUUGAGGAGGCGAGAGGUAUAUGGAACUCAUGGAGGAGGGGUGAUAUCCGUUGAUCUCAUGAGGAACACCAAAAGCGAAGGCAAUAUACUGGCGCCUUCCUGACACUGAGACACGAAAGCGUAGGUAGCGAAUGGGAUUAGAUACCCUCGUA
rnacentral:rRNA from 1 species